GAUCCUGGCUCAGGACGAACGCUGGCGGCGUGCUUAACACAUGCAAGUCGAACGGAGCACCCUUGACUGAGGUUUCGGCCAAAUGAUAGGAAUGCUUAGUGGCGGACUGGUGAGUAACGCGUGAGGAACCUGCCUUUCAGAGGGGGACAACAGUUGGAAACGACUACUAAUACCGCAUGAUGCGUAACUGGGACAUCCCGGAUACGCCAAAGAUUUUAUCGCUGAAAGAUGGCCUCGCGU
rnacentral:rRNA from 1 species